UACGUAGGUGGCAAGCGUUGUCCGGAAUUAUUGGGCGUAAAGCGCGCGCAGGCGGUCCCUUAAGUCUGAUGUGAAAUCUCGCGGCUCAACCGUGAGCGGUCAUUGGAAACUGGGAGACUUGAGUGCAGAAGAGAAGAGCGGAAUUCCACGUGUAGCGGUGAAAUGCGUAGAGAUGUGGGGGAACACCAGUGGCGAAGGCGGCUCUUUGGUCUGUAACUGACGCUGAGGCGCGAAAGCGUGGGGAGCGAACAGG
rnacentral:rRNA from 1 species